UAUAUGUAACGUUUACGCAUUUUUGCCCACUAUAUUGCAUUAUGUCCAGUCAGAAGCUUUUGCAGGGCAAUACUGAAAGCAGGAUUGCAUGUAACCACCCCGACACCACUAUAAAUGUAAAUAAUCAUGAAUGCAUAAAAAAAGGACAUACCGUAUUUUUCCGUGUAUAAGACUAGGUCCCCCCCCUAAAAAAUAAUGUCAAAAAUUGGGGGGGCGUCUUGUACACGGAUACAUCUCCCCCCAUUUUCUUAAAUCGGAGUCCCCCAAAUUAGGGGGCGUCUUAUACAUGGGGGUGUCUUAUAAAUGAAAAAAUACGUUAUUUUGCUACUUUUAUAAAUGGGUACUGUUUGGUUCGUGUACAGUAUGGCUUAUAUUGGUCAGCAACAGGAGUCACAAUAUUGCCUUGCUCUCAGUCUACCAAAUUACAGUCAAACAUAGAAAGCCGUUUUAUUAUAUUUAUGGCUAGUAAAACUUCUAGGGUAGUUUGAGGCAGCUUGAGACAGGUGAAUUUCCUUGGGCGGUGUGUUUCUCAAACUAGGCUGGGACCCAGCAAUGAGUCAAGGGCCACUUUCAGGUGGCCCUUGGUGCCACAGCCUGUCCAGUGUGCCUCCUCACUGGCCUGGGAUUAGAAUGGAAGGGGGCAAGAGAGGGGAGCUGUUAGAGGAGGAAGAGGUAAAUGCAAAAGGAUCAGUGAGAAGGGGCAAAGGACACUGAACAUUUUGAAGUCUGGUGGGAUAAGGUACAAGUUGAGUGUGGAAAAACCCUUUGCACUUAAAGCCACUGGAUCAGCAAAUUCUUCCUAAUAUGGAGUGGCUGAGUCACAAUACGCCCAUGGCAACUGUUCUUACUUAGCUUGAGGAAAGCUGAAUUAUGGAACUCCUUGCCACAAGGAAAAAGCUAAGGCAAAGAAUUUAGCAAUUUCAAAAAAUGGAUUAGAUAUCAGUAGAAAGUAAUAGUAAUUGCCAGUUGAUUAUGCCAAACUUUACCUCCACCUGCCACUAUUUUGGAUUUUGCUUGGCUCCUGCAUCACCAUGUUGUAGUUUGUGGGCUUCAGUGAUUUUCAGCCAUCUCAAGUAAGCCCUGGGAGUAGAAUGCUUGAGAAUCAAUGUCCUAAGGUACAUUGCUACUAAAGAAACCAUGGUCCCUAAAGUUAGACCAUGAUUUUCUCCUGCAUCAAUUUCCUCUAGUGAUCUGUUCCACCAUCAGCCACUUCUGCAUUCUGUCUGGAAGGUCCAGCUGGACAUCAUCAUUGCUGGGACUGGUGACAUUGAAAUCCCACUGAAGGCUUGCUGUUUUCAACUGUUUACAAAAUGGUUUGGAGAGGAAUUAUCCCUCAACAUGAAAUCUGGAGUUCAGACUAAUAGGAUUAGUGGUAAUAAGAUUUCUACACAACAUCAGCACCUAGCAUAUUCUAGUGCACAAGGACAACAUCAUAACCAGGGCACAUGUCAUCUGGAGAUUUGCGACAAGGUGCGUCAUCACUCUGCAGACGACACCCAGAUCAGUUUAUCGUUUUCAUCAGAGAUCAGUGAUCCUUGAAUGGCAGGCUAACUGCAACAGCUUGGGAAGAAAAACAAGUACCACUUGCACAGGAUGUUCCUCUGAAUCCAGGGAAAGGACAAGCAACAUUCUCCCAACCCCAUUAUUGAGGGGGCUGCAGAGAUCAAAGCUGUUGUCACAAAGAGAACGGGAAUGGGCUGACAGACAAAAAGUGUUCAAUCGUGUCGGAAGUUUUAGGAUGAAACUCAGCUUGUAUGGAAGACUGGUGGGUCUGCAUAGGAGAAAAUAUAUAGAGAGGAACCUCCAAACUUCAUAGAGCUGUUCUUUUAACUGUGCUGACCUUCCAUCAGGUGUUAGACUGAUAUUCUCAGGCUUGCUUUCCUCAUUUUCUUUUUCACUUUGGAAGAAGAGACAUCUUUGUAUGUCUCUCCUGCUGAGAACAAAGAACAGGCAUGGUUCUUUGUAUCUCCAUCUUAGUUAGACAGAAGAAAUGAUAUUUCCUCUCAGGUAUGUUUUCCCUUUAAUAAAAUUAGCUUUCUUAAUUUCCUAAACUCGGUAUCAGUGUGAUUAUAAUCAAGAGCAAAGCGUGCUUCUCCAGCAA